UACGUAGGGUGCAAGCGUUAAUCGGAAUUACUGGGUGUAAAGCGUGCGCAGGCGGUUUUGUAAGUCUGACGUGAAAUCCCCGGGCUCAACCUGGGAAUUGCGUUGGAGACUGCAAGGCUAGAAUCUGGCAGAGGGGGGUAGAAUUCCACGUGUAGCAGUGAAAUGCGUAGAGAUGUGGAGGAACACCGUUGGCGAAGGCAGCCCCCUGGGUCAAGAUUGACGCUCAUGCACGAAAGCGUGGGGAGCAAACAGG
rnacentral:rRNA from 1 species